rnacentral:rRNA from 1 species
UACAGAGGGUGCGAGCGUUAAUCGGAAUGACUGGGCGUAAAGGGCGCGUAGGUGGUGAGAUAAGAUGCAUGUGAAAUCCCUGGGCUUAACCUAGGAAUGGCGUGGAUGACUGUCUCGCUAGAGUAUUGUAGAGGGUAGUGGAAUUUCCGGUGUAGCGGUGAAAUGCGUAGAGAUCGGAAGGAACAUCAGUGGCGAAGGCGGCUACCUGGACAAAUACUGACACUGAGGCGCGAGAGCGUGGGGAGCAAACAGG